GAUGAACGCUGGCGGCGUGCCUAAUACAUGCAAGUCGAGCGAACAGAUGAGGAGCUUGCGCCUCUCACGUUAGCGGCGGACGGGUGAGUAACACGUGGAUAACCCACCUAUAAGACGGGGAUAACUUCGGGAAACCGGAGCUAAUACCGGAUAAUAUAUUGAACCGCAUGGUUCAAUAGUGAAAGACGGUUUUGCUGUCACUUCUAGAGGGAUCCUCGCCGCAUUAGCGAGUUGGUAAGGUAACGGCUUACGAGGGGAACGAGGCGUUGGCGAGCGGAGGGGGGGAUAGCCGACCUGGGAGCUGGGCCGCGCACAAGGCUCCUACGGUAGGGCCCAGUAGCGAAUCUUCCGCAGUGGUCGGGAGCCUGGCGGAGCGGCGCGGCGCCAGAGAUGAAGGUCUUCGGAUCGUGAUGCUCUCUUAUUAGGGAUGAACAGAUGUGUAAGUAGCUGUGCACGUAGUGACGGUACCUAGUCAGAAAGCCCCGGCUAACUACGUG
rnacentral:rRNA from 1 species